CUGAAAAGGGUGCAGCGCAGCUCACUCAGGGCAGUCAGUGAAAGGGAGCAAGCCUGCACCGAUAUCUCCUGCAGGACUCCAGUAGGAGCUGCACACCACCCUGAAGCUCACCUCAACUGGAGUGACUAGCAUCUCUGAGAAGAGAUACAAAACAUCUGUUUAUUGAAGAAUAAAGGAAGAUGAAGCUUGGACAAUGGAGGUUCCGACCCAGGCCAUGUAGUGACAGGAAGGAACUGGAGAGGCGGUCAGUCCACUCUGCCCUUUAUCUCCUUGGUUGGAAGCAUGAGGAGAGUGAAGGCAAAUAUGUGGCCCAACAGACCUGGUUUUCAAGAAUUUUCCAGUUCCGGCUGCAUGGCACGCACAUGCACCCACCGUAGAAUACACACAGGCACCAGCACUCAAAGAAGGAAAAUCACCAGAGAGAUUUUCAGAAUUGUUCAGCAGUCAGUGCUCAGCAGCUUCCCUUGUUCUUCCACUGAGCACUUUUCAAAAAUCUGGUCCUUCGUGUUGUUGGGAUACACGCAGAGUUAGGGUGCCGUGCUCCGGUGUCACGCACAAUGCCGCAUUGGCCUGUUGCAAUGCAACCAGGGCUAAAUCUUGUUAGAAAGUUAUGUGUACAUGAAUGCCAUGUUGGGAUCUCCUAACAUCUCCAUGAGCUAGAGGCCUGAUCCUGAGAACUCUUACUCAUGCAACUAGCCUUUACUCACACCAGCAGACCCGUUGAGGUCAAUGGCGCUAUACAUGAGUGAAGGUUGUAGCUCUGAGGUGGAGUGUUAAAGAAAAAAGCUGGAACAAGUAAGAAAGGGGACCGGAUCCCGAGAAAAAAAUAGUACUGCUGAAAGUAGUAGUUCUGGUUUGUGCCCCACUUCUUCUCACUCUUUUGGUUGGAGCCUUUAUGCGCUUCUGUAAUAGGAACAACCACCAACCAAGGUCACCGAGCAAGUCUGUGGCAGAGUCAGGAGCACAACAUGGAGCUCUGGACCCUUGGGCCUUAUCUAUACAGGGGUUUUAAGCCACUGAUGUAGCAGCACCAAUGCAAACCCCUACUGGUGCAGUGCAUCUACACGGACCAGAAAACAGGCUAAGGUACAGCAUUGCAAAAGUCUGCACUAGAAGUUUGCAUUGCAUUGGUAUAGCUAUACACCAGUGACUAAAAGCCCCAGUAUAGACAAAGCCUCAAUCCUGUUCUUUAAUUACAAGACUGUGCUUCCUACAAACUCUUUCCCUUCUAGUGAUUAGCUCUCCAACUGGCAUACUCUAGCAUAUAAAGAAAAAACUAUGACUUCAUAGCUUGCUUUUGUGACUUGCAGGAUGGCUCCAUCCUGUGAUGAAAGAUUGCAUUGCAUCCAAAUGUGAAUUUCUUUAACAGAAGUCAUUCAACUUUUUUCACCCAGAUGGGUUAUACCAGCACCUUAAUGAUUUAUUCUAGCUAAAGAACCUAAGAAAAUUCUUGAGAGCGCUUCUCCUGUCAGCUUAGUUAAUCCACUUCUGUGAGAGGCAGUAGCUAAGUCACGAGAAGCGCUCCCGCCGACACAGCGCUGUCUACACCAGCGCUUCAGUUAGUUGAACUACAUCGCUCAGUUGUGUGGAUUAUUCACAUCCGUGAGUGACGUAAUGAUACAGAAGUAAUUCUCUAGUGUAAACCAGGGCUUACAGAGACCCUCCGCAGCAUACCCUAUAACCAGGUGAUUAGAAGGAAAACCAGGGUUCAAGUUCCUUUUUGCUACCUAAAUCUCCUUGGGAAUCAAACCUGAAAAAUCAAAAUGUUUUGUUGCACGAAUGAUAAAAUGAACCAUUUUGACAUUUCCAAAAAGUUUUCUUUUUGACAGAACUUUGCCAAAAUCUACACAAAUUCACCCAAUGUUUCAGUCGAUCCAAGUCAGCAUUUUUCAGUGGAAAAAAAGUUUAGUCUGAAAAAUUUCACUCAGUUUUAGUUGUAACUCAUACCUUACCCUCCACAUGCAAGUCAGACCCACUACCCUGCUGGGGGCCAAGGAGCUCACUGUACCUGGUUCAGCCCCAUGCCCCCUGAGUCAGAAACCUCACCCUUCUUCCCAGGGCCUCCGCCGAUGCUCACAGUCCUCCUAACCACCCUCUAGUUCACACUGGAUUACUGACUCCCAGGGAGCCCCUCUCUGUUUGCUACCCCACUUUACUGGGCCACAGGCUGUUCUUGUUUUCCCUCCAGCAGGCCUGCUUGUCCUUUGUCACUCAUCUGCUCCAGCUGGGGAGGCAAGAUAAGUCUGGCACAGAUGCAGCUGAGCCCUAACACUCCCCACCCCUUAAAGGCCCAGCUCAUACUGGGAAAGCCCCAAGCACUUGGUGCACAGCCCUAACAGUCCUUCACAUUUCUGGAGUCUCAGGGAGAAGUGGUAGCCAGUACUAUCUUUUCAACUAUGGCUGUCCAAGAUGCCAUGUGACUUUUCUACUUCAUUUAAAAUAUCAUGGUAAGCCAAAUUCUAGCCAUUCCCCCCACCUCCUUAAGGAUUACAGAUGUAAUAUUUUUCUUCUUCCAUUAGCAAAUAAAUUGGAACACACUGGUAUUUUAGGCAAAGGUGUCCUAGAAUUGUUCAGAUCAGAAGGUUUUAACAAUGGUCAGAUUUUUUAAAAAAUCAUUAGCGACUAAAACUUGUGAAUAUCAUCAUUUUCAGCUUCGCUUAAAGGGAUAACAUCAGUGAUUCUCAAACUUCUGUAAUAAUGGCCCUUUUCACAUGGCAAGCCCCUGAGUGUGACCCCACCCCCACCCCUGUAUAAAUUAAAAACACUUUUAAAAUAUUUAACACUAUUAUAAAUACUGGAAGCAAAGUGGGGUGGGAGUGGAGAGGUGGCAGCUUGCGACCCCCCCCAUGUAAUAACCUUGCAACCCCGAGUAGUCAACCCCAGUUUGGUCACAACCCCCUGGUCUAUAUAAUCAGGCUGAAGAUACGAGUUAAAGGUUGUUUCACGGACACUAGACUCUGAAUUCCCCUGCCAAUUUUGGGGGUUUUGUAAAUCCAAGUUUCCUAUACUAUUAGAUAUUCUUUUCUCUUCCCUGUUGCUGGGUGAAAGCUCCACACAAACAAAAGGGAGGGGAAUUACUAUGCCUCCACUUUUGCAAACUGCUUCAUGCAGGCACUAGAGUCAAUGGGGUUCCAUUGUCUUCCUGCCUGGAGCAGUUUCCAGGAGCUUAAGAUGGGGGGCAGCAUUGCCCACUGGAGAGGGCACUGAACUCAAAGACAGGUGACUUGAAUUCUGGCUCAUCUCAGCACUGACUUGCUGUGUGACCUUUGGAAGGUCACUUCAUCUGUCUGGGCCUGUUUCCCUUCCCCACCCUUAGCCUAUUAGAUGGUAGGUAAGUAUUUGGCAGCAGGGACAGACAUAUCUCACUGUGUUUGUACAGUGCCUAGCACAAGGGACCUCUGGUCAUUACUGUAAUACAAAUAAUAAUUGGUUAAUGAUGUGGGGAAGACUGAAACUGACUAUACAUAAAGUCAACAAAAUAAAAGCAAAAGCUUUUUCCCCCACUCUAAUCUCUUUCACUUAUGGAAAGCUUAGGUAUUACUUGUAAAGAUACCAAAAAGUACUCAGGCAGAAUGAUUCACUUUGGUUAUAUAUUUGCGCAAAUUAAGUGAGUAUGUGUGAUUUUAUGAAACAGUCACAGGAGGGCAGCAUCAGCUGUGUUUUGGGUUUGAUGGAAAGGAGAUAUUUGAUAAAGCUUUCUAGCAGGUCAGGGUUUAUGAUGAUACUUCAUAAGACGCAGUAGAAAAACUUACUGGCUAGACAGAUACAAACACCACUUCAGGUUUUCUAAAAAUCUGUAUUUACACAAUUUUGUAACAGAAGUGGACUGAAUAUUUUACAGUUGCACACAAAUAAAUUUAUUUAGCAUGAAUGUAAAACAAAGUAUGGCGUAGGGCACUUUACCAUUAUUUAGCGCUGCUCCCCAUUGUAAACAACAGGGCAGGGCAGUUGUAUAAUAACUGAAGGUUUUCACUCAGUACAUUCUUUGCUUGCACAGGAAAAUUACAUAAGGCCCCAGAUCCUGCAACAAGUAGCACAUAUAUAGGCUGCAGAGAGAGAUUUCAAUGGGGCUCUGCACAGCUGCAGCAGGGCCGAGGCCUAAGCAUGUGUCCUUUUGCUACCAUAGAUGUCGAGACCAGUUAUACAGGGACAUAUAAUUCAGUAUUUUACUUUUAGCAAAACAACUGAUGGCAUGAUCCUGCAAUGUGUUGAUCAUCCUGAACUCAAUCAGAGCUGAGCUUUCUCAGCUCCACACAAGAUCAAGUUCUUAUUGAUUAUGCAAAUGUUAGGAAGGAUACGUCACGCAGUGUACUUUUUCUCCCCAUGUUUUUUAGUUUUGUGGUAGUGGGUAUAAUCAUUGUACAAUUCCUUAAAGACUUCUCUUACGCCCAUCUGUAGCGAUGCGUUUAAGAACUUGAUGUCGCGUUCAAUGCAAAGGUCUAGGAUGUGAUAUAUUCCCUCAGUUAGAUGUUUCUUUACAGCUGGAAGUAAGGUCACCUAGGAGAUGAACAAAAUCUCAUGAAACUUUUUACUUUCCAUAGUUAGUAUACGUCAAGUGACUGGAAAUAAAAGUACUGACAAGAUACAAUCCAAAGUAUCAGCCCAUCUGUUAAUUUAUUAUCUAAUAUUUUACACGGUGUUUAUCUCCCCGAUUUUGCAAACCUGAUUUAAAACACAGCAGUAAUAUAUAAUCCUGUAUAUUAAGAUUUGCAGCGGUGCUGAGUGUUCAGGUAAACACUCUGUUAUACUUGGGAGAAUUUGAAAUCAUCCCAACAAAAAAAACCCUACAGUAAAAUAUUCUAAGACACCCAUCCUGGAAUAGAUUUUUCCAGCAGUUUUUUGUACACCUCUUUCAUAUUCAGGAGAUGGAACAAUAGCCAACAUAUCAGCUGCAUGCUGCACACUGAAAUCUCAGUUAGGAACAAGUCCUUCUGUGAGCCUACAUCUAAAAUGGUUAGUUUGUUUUGCCUCUUCCAGUUUAAUAACUGCAUUUAUCUAGCAACUUUUAUCCAAGAAUUUCAAUUUGCUUUAUAAGCAUUAAUUACAGAAGCCUUAAAGAACACCCUCUCAGGUGUGUGUUUACUUGACCCAUUUUAACCCCGUGGAACCCCAGGCACAGAGAAAUUAAAAGACUUGCCUUAAGUCAUACAGCAAGCUAAUGGCAGAGCUGGGAAUACAACCUAAAACUCCUAACUCAGUCCCUUGCUGAUCACUAGACACGCUGUCUUCCCACAACUGCCAUAAUCCCCAUAACAAAGCUCAUCAAGGUUGACUCUGGAGUGUUUUGGGGCUCUAGGCAAACUGGAACACAUCCUAGGAUCAUAACCCGCUCACUAAACAUUUUACUGCUUUAGGUUCAGGUGGCCUCUGGAGCGGAUCAUGCUGUUCUUGCCACAGAAAUAGGUCUUAUCUCUGCUGAAUACUAAAAUUAACUUGGUGCCUCCAGACCUGUGCUUCUGCACUCCAAGCAUGAAACUGCAUGAAAGGCUCUCAUUAAAACUCAGAAUUUUCCUCUCUUCCUGAGGCAAGUAAUACACUCUUCACUAUGGAAGUGAACUCCUAAUCCCUGUGUCGGGUCCAGGCUCUCUUUCUGCCCUGAGGCCACAGAGCAGUGAAGGGGCAGGGGCUGCCUUCUAAGAGGAUGAAGAGCCAGCUGAUCGCUGCACAGAAGGAACAGCAUGAAAUGCCACUAUAAUUGAGAAUUUGGAUCAAGUUCAUACCUGGUGUAAGCAGAUGCAUCUGCAGUGGAGUUACACCCACUUACACCACAUCUGAAUUUGGCCCCAACUCCUCUUGACUAUCUUUACUCUACAAUGCAAUUCCCACAAACCACUGUCUAAAAACCUUAUGAGAUUUACACAACUGCCACUGUGAGCUGGCAGUUAAUUCUACCUACACACGUGUUAUGGUCUAUAUAGUUAGCAAGACCAAUCUGCGUUACAGAACUCUUGAUGGGGGGACGGCUAAGUGUGUGAAGAAUUAUUUCAUCAUUGCUGAAUUAUGCUACAGCUCUGAGAUAACGCAUGAAAGGUGAGAUCAAGCAUGUGGAAGAGGCUGCAGGUGUACCCAGGGCCAAUGAUGGACUUUUCUAGGUUUAUUUCAGAAUAAUUAAUAAGGGUCUACAUUUGUUGUGAUAAAUAUUGAUAAACUAGAUUUUUCAUCAGGGGAAAGUGCCCUUUAUGAUUGAGAGAGUACAAGUGUGUGUGCAGCCUUUGUAAAAAUCUACUUUGAAAAGGGGUUUCUCUUCUGUUCUUUCAGAGCAACAUGAGAGGUCUCAAGUGCUUUCUAGCAUGUACAGGUCCAGCCCCUUUCCCCUUUGAGAUCGAUCCUCUUUUUUUUUUUUUUUUUUUUUUUUUUAAAAACUCCACGUCACCAAUUCAGUAAGUGUCCCACCAAUUCAUUAACUCUCCUCCUCAUGCUCAAUUAUUCCAUUAACAUAUGAAUCCCCAAACAAAGAUUCGUUUGUGCCGUUAUUUAUCAUCAACUAGGUAGGCAUAUGGUUACACCGCACCCUUUAGCUAAAGUCUCCAGAGGCCUUACGCUCUAACACAGACUCAAAUCACUUGAAGAUGUCCAUAUGUGAAAAUUAAAACAGACACCACGUGCGGGACACUCAGCGGUUCUAUAAUUAGCGAGCACAGCUACCGAGCAGGUUUUAAAGAGUGAGGCUUAAAACCAGUGAAACAGCAUAUUUAAACCCAAGAGAUAAUCAAACAUUAACUUUCAUUGUUAUUUGCAGAACAAACUUAUGCUCUAUAUAUGAAAGACUCUGUUCUGAAACACUGAGGGCACGUCUAAAUGAAGAGUUAUCUCCUCGCAAUAGCCUGCCGUGCAUUAAUUGAGUGUGGACCCUGCUGCCACACACGAACAGCUUCAUAGUGUGCUUUGAUUUACCCUGCUUUGACAUGGGCGUAGAUCAAAGCUCAUUAGGGACUCUUACUGCACAGCAGCAGGGUCCAUGUGGACAGUCAGUGCAUGGCAAGCUAGUGUGGGGUAGAUUUACACCCCAGCAAAGUUUAAGAUCAAGUGAUGCACCCACUUUUUAAAACUUUGGCCAUACGUACUCUCUUAUAGGGAGUAGCUGCUCUUAUUCAGAAACCAGUGAAUAGUGGGAUCUCAGUUUGCUUUAUGGAUUGCCCAUCCAAAUGCUCUAGUAAUGUCUUUUCAGCAAUGGCUGUUUAUAGUUUUAAUUCCUCUAAUUUGGGGGGGAUAGGAGGACUUGGUAAAAGAGCACCCUGCAUUUACACUGACUGAAUAUUUUCCCCCACUCCCUUUCUUCACUCCUUCCUCACCUGGAGCCCCCACAGCUGCAAUUGACACCAAAGCGGGAUUUGCCUGGUCUUGGUGUGGGAGGGUGCAGUUU